UGUUGAUAAAGUUGUCACCGAUCUCAUGAUUCAACCAUUAAAUUUUGGGACCUCAGAGAUCGUACACUAAUUAUUUUUACCUUGGGACCUCAGAGAUGGCACACUAAUUAUUUUUACCAUCAUUGUUUUACUUUUAUCUCUCUGCCUUUUUCAGGAAUGCUUUUGUUACUGCAUCGACUGGCAACAUCAAGAAGUUUAGCCUUCCUCAAGGUCAAGGAGAGUUAUGCCACGAUAUGAUGAGUAAAGCGUAGACAGCCCAAAUCGCGCCGUUCAAGAAGAGGAAAAACGACAGCAAAAAUGGCAUGUACUUCACACUUCUCGUCGUCACAACAGUUUUCUGAUAGGAUCCAUAAUUCAAAAAAUUUGAUUAAAACGACACUAUACGGGUAUAUGAGAAAGACCAUCUAAUGAUAAUAUAUACAAUGACAUUGAUAUGUUACUUAUACACGUGCUCAUAUAUACUCUCCAUACAAUUUCUCUCUUA